rnacentral:rRNA from 1 species
GGCAGUGACGGUUAACGGGGGAUUAGGGUUCGAUUCCGGAGAGGGAGCCUGAGAAACGGCUACCACAUCUAAGGAAGGCAGCAGGCGCGCAAAUUACCCAAUUCUAACAGCAUAAGAGAGGUAGUGACAAGAAAUAACAAUACAAGGCAKUUAAAAUGYUUUGUAAUUGGAAUGAUAGAAAUUUAAACACUUUUUAAAGUAUCAAUUGGAGGGCAAGUCUGGUGCCAGCAGCCGCGGUAAUUCCAGCUCCAAUAGCGUAUAUUAAAAUUGUUGCAGUUAAAAAGCUCGUAGUUGAAUUUYUGYUAAAAAUAACCGGUCUGCUUUUAACAAAAGUGGUAUCUUGGUGUGUUUUUAGCAAUAAUGUCCUUUGAAAUGUGUUUUACUUUGUUGUAAAAGACAAUAUUCAGGAUUUUUACUUUGAGAAAAUUAGAGUGUUUCUAGCAAGCUAAUGUUUUGAAUACUGCAGCAUGGAAUAAUAAAAUAGAAUUUUAGUUCUACAUUGUUGGUUUUAAGAGCUGAAUUAAUGAUUGAUAGGGACAGUUGGGGGCAUUUGUAUUUAACUGUCAGAGGU